CCAUAUACGACCGUACCGCAAACCGACACUGGUGCGCGAGAUGAGUAUUCUAAGGCGCUUGAGAGAACUCAGGAGAAGGAACUCGGCAAAUUGACACCGUAACUUCGGAAGAAGGUGUGCCCUAUUAGUGUGUAGUGAACAACGAAGCAUGAAUGGGUUGCAAAAAAUCGGUGGCUGCGACUGUUUAUUAAAAACACAGCACUCUGCAAACACGAAAGUGGACGUAUAGGGUGUGACGCCUGCCCGGUGCUGGAAGAUUAAAUGAUGGGGUGCAAGCUCUUGAUUGAAGUCCCAGUAAACGGCGGCCGUAACGAUAACGGUCCUAAGGUAGCGAAAUUCCUUGUCGGGUAAGUUCCGACCUGCACGAAUGGCGUAACGAUGGCCACACUGUCUCCUCCUGAGACUCAGCGAAGUUGAAAUGUUUGUGAUGAUGCAAUCUCCCCGCGGAAAGACGGAAAGACCCCAUGAACCUUUACUGUAGCUUUGUAUUGGACUUUGAACAGAUCUGUGUAGGAUAGGUGGGAGGCUUUGAAGCAGGGUCGCUAGAUCUUGUGGAGCCAACGUUGAAAUACCACCCUGGUGUGUUUGAGGUUCUAGCCUAGGUCCAUUAUCUGGAUCGGGGACAGUGCAUGGUAGGCAGUUUGACUGGGGCGGUCUCCUCCCAAAGCGUAACGGAGGAGUUCGAAGGUACGCUAGUUACGGUCGGACAUCGUGACUAUAGUGCAAUGGCAUAAGCGUGCUUAACUGCGAGACUGACAAGUCGAGCAGAUGCGAAAGCAGGACAUAGUGAUCCGGUGGUUCUGUAUGGAAGGGCCAUCGCUCAACGGAUAAAAGGUACUCUGGGGAUAACAGGCUGAUACCGCCCAAGAGUUCAUAUCGACGGCGGUGUUUGGCACCUCGAUGUCGGCUCAUCUCAUCCUGGGGCUGUAGCCGGUCCCAAGGGUAUGGCUGUUCGCCAUUUAAAGAGGUACGUGAGCUGGGUUUAAAACGUCGUGAGACAGUUUGGUCCCUAUCUUCCGUGGGCGCUGCAGAUUUGAGGAAGCCUGCUCCUAGUACGAGAGGACCGGAGUGGACACACCUCUGGUGUAUCGGUUGUCACGCCAGUGGCAUUGCCGAGUAGCUAAGUGUGGAAGAGAUAACCGCUGAAAGCAUCUAAGCGGGAAACUCGUUUCAAGAUGAGAUCUGCCGGGGCCUUGAGCCCCCUAAAGAGUCGUUCAAGACCAGGACGUUGAUAGGUCAGGUGUGGAAGCGAAG
rnacentral:rRNA from 1 species